CCAAUAGCGUAUAUUAAAGUUGUUGCAGUUAAAAAGCUCGUAGUUGAAUUUCGGGAUCAAUAUGUUGGUCGUGCCUUGGUACGUACUGGCGUCAUUGGUUUCUACCUUCUGAAGAACCUCGAUGUCAUUAAUUUGGUGUCUUGGGGAAUCAGGACUGUUACUUUGAAAGAAUUAGAGUGUUUAAAGCAAGCUCACGCUUGAAUACAUUAGCAUGGAAUAAUGAAAUAGGACGUUUGAUUCUAUUUUGUUGGUUUCUAGGAUCGACGUAAUGAUUAAUAGGGAUAGUUGGGGGCAUUAGUAUUCAAUUGUCAGAGGUGAAAUUCUUGGAUUUAUUGAAGACUAACUACUGCGAAAGCAUUUGCCAAGGAUGUUUUCAUUAAUCAAGAACGAAAGUUAGGGGAUCGAAGACGAUCAGAUACCGUCGUAGUCUUAACCAUAAACUAUGCCGACUAGGGAUCGGAUGAUGUUAAUUUUUUAAUGACUCAUUCGGCGCCUUACG
rnacentral:rRNA from 1 species